GCGAAAGACUAAUCGAACCAUCGAGUAGCUGGUUCCCUCCGAAGUUUCCCCUCAGGAUAGCUGGAACUUAUGAGAAAGUAGUUUUAUCAGGUAAAGCGAAUGAUUAGAGGCUUUGGGGAAGAAACUUCCUCGACCUAUUCUCAAACUUUAAAUAGGUAAGAUUUGAAGGAUACUUAAGUGAUCUUUCAAUCUCUUGAAUAUAAAGUUCUUAGUGGGCCAUUUUUGGUAAGCAGAACUGGCGAUGUGGGAUGAACCGAACGUUAAGUUAAAGUGCCAAAAUAAUACGCUCAUGAGAUACCAUAAAAGGUGUUGGUUCAUUUUGACAGCAGGACGGUGGCCAUGGAAGUCGGAACCCGCUAAGGAGUGUGUAACAACUCACCUGCCGAAUGAACUAGCCCUGAAAAAUGGAUGGCGCUUAAGCGUAUAACUUAUACUUAACCCUUACUUGAAUUAUAAUAGCGAGUAAGGAGUAGGAGGGCGUAAAGUUUCUAUUAUAAUGGCUGUUAAGCAUCUAAGCGUGAGCUUAUGUGGAGCAAACUUUAGUGUAGAUCUU
rnacentral:rRNA from 1 species